UGGGGAAUUGUUCGCAAUGGACGCAAGUCUGACGACGCAACGCCGCGUGGAGGAUGAAGACCUUCGGGUCGUAAACUCCUUUCGACCGAGAUGAAGAGGCGCUGACCUAACACGUCGGCGCAUUGACAGUAUCGAGGGAAGCAGCCCCGGCUAACUCCGUGCCAGCAGCCGCGGUAAUACGGGGGGGGCAAGCGUUGUUCGGAAUUACUGGGCGUAAAGGGUUCGUAGGUGGCGCACUAAGUCACACGUGAAAUCCCUCAGCUUAACUGGGGAACUGCGUGUGAAACUGGAGCGCUUGAGGACAGGAGAGGAACGCGGAAUUCCAGGUGUAGCGGUGAAAUGCGUAGAUAUCUGGAGGAACACCGGUGGCGAAGGCGGCGUUCUGGACUGUUUCUGACACUGAAGAACGAAAGCCAGGGGAGCAAACGGGAUUAGAUACCCCCGUAGUCC
rnacentral:rRNA from 1 species